AUAAAAAUCCAACUGACUGCCACUUACAUAAAUGUAACAGGAAGUUUCUGAAUGGCUUCCCCUGUGUCUUGAGGCUGUUACCCUGGUACUGCUAAACUAACAGCUGAAAUGAAUGCAGACAACACCUCAUCAAAGCUGCGGGGCGAGGAGGCCAUGGUCCAGAGGCAGACAGGAACAUUCCUGCCAAACCAGAGGAGAUUUCACUCUGUAGGCCCUUUUCUGCAGAAAUGCCAACAGCUGGGAAAGCCAUCAGAGAACCCAGCCUAAUCAUCUAAAGAGAUUAAAGGAACACACCAUUAAUGAUGCUGGGUGCUAAUGGCAAAGGAAAGAAGAAAGAAGCCAGGUACUGCAGCAGACCAUGGACACGAGAUGCUCAGCUCUUCUGAAGUACCCAAUCCAGAGGGGCUAUAAAACGAUAAGAAGAAGAUGGCAGAAAACAGAAGUUGCUGCGAGUGUUAGCAGGGCAAAUGCAUAUGAAAGCAAACAGCACAGCACUUGGUGCUACAGGAGCAUCUUGUUUUCUAGACAAUCUGUCUGCUGGUGGACAAGGACCAGAGGGUGAAGUUCUUCAUCAAAUUAUCGCAGAACUGGGAGAAAGCCUGGAAGACUUACACAAUUACUAUCUUAACCCCUCACCAGCUGCUCACCUGUGAGAACAACAAUCCCGCCCCAGCUCUGCGGGGCCCCUGCGCCCACUGUCUGGCUCUGUGAGAACUGGUGGGCUGGGGUAGGGGGGGUGGGUUGUGAUUGAAGCUACAGCUGGGGCAGGAAGGAGCCAAGUGGUGGCAAUAGAGAGGUCUCUAUUGGAAUGUACUGCUUGGGCUCAGACUGGACUCAACUAAAUCCUGGACAAAGAAUCCACACACGAGUGUCCACGGUGUGUCUGUUGUGGCACUUUCAAGUGUCCUCUGUUUAUUUCUCAGAAUAAUCUGCAAGGGAGAUAUGUUUAUCUCCCCUUUACUGAAGAGGAAACUGGGACUCAGAGUAGUGAUAUAACACACUCAAGAGAACACUGCUUGUGAAUGGUAUAAAGAAGGCCAAGUUAGGGACAUCUGGGUGGCUCAGUGGAUGAGUGUCUGCCUUUGACUCAGGUCGUGAUCCCAGCAUCCUGGAAUCAAGUCCCACAUCAGGUUCCCCACAGGGACACUGCUUCUCCUU